AUUGAACGCUGGCGGCAGGCCUAACACAUGCAAGUCGAACGAGUGGCGGACGGGUGAGUAAUGUCUGGGAAACUGCCCGAUGGAGGGGGAUAACUACUGGAAACGGUAGCUAAUACCGCAUACCAUCGGAUGUGCCCAGAUGGGAUUAGCUUGUAGGUGAGGUAACGGCUCGCCUAGGCGACGAUCCCUAGCUGGUCUGAGAGGAUGACCGGACACACUGGAACUGAGAGACGGUCCAGACUCCUACGUGAGGCAGCAGUGGGGAAGAUUGCACAAUGUGAGCAAGCUUGAUGCAGCCAGGCCGCGGGUAUGAAGAAGGCCUUCGGGUUGUAAAGUACUUUCAGCGGGGAGGCGUUACCCGCAGAAGAAGCACCGGCUAACUCCGGGCCAGCAGCCGCGGUAAUAC
rnacentral:rRNA from 1 species